rnacentral:rRNA from 1 species
UUUGAACGCUGGCGGCAGGCCUAACACAUGCAAGUCGAACGGUAACAGGAAGCAGCUUGCUGCUUCGCUGACGAGUGGCGGACGGGUGAGUAAUGUCUGGGAAACUGCCUGAUGGAGGGGGAUAACUACUGGAAACGGUAGCUAAUACCGCAUAACGUCGCAAGACCAAAGAGGGGGACCUUCGGGCCUCUUGCCAUCGGAUGUGCCCAGAUGGGAUUAGCUAGUAGGUGGGGUAACGGCUCACCUAGGCGACGAUCCCUAGCUGGUCUGAGAGGAUGACCAGCCACACUGGAACUGAGACACGGUCCAGACUCCUACGGGAGGCAGCAGUGGGGAAUAUUGCACAAUGGGCGCAAGCCUGAUGCAGCCAUGCCGCGUGUAUGAAGAAGGCCUUCGGGUUGUAAAGUACUUUCAGCGGGGAGGAAGGGAGUAAAGUUAAUACCUUUGCUCAUU